UUACCUGCCUUUGUACCAACUGGUGUCUGUGCUCUUCUGCAAGGAAGGAGGAAAGCGCUACACAGCUGCUGCACGGUGAAUCCAACGCGGACGCGGGCCGGUCCCUCUGUCCGGGAGCUGGAGCUCAGCGCUGCGGAGGAACCCACGGGAGCCCCGGGCGGCACGGAGCACGUCGGGAUCCGCUCACCGUGGUGCCAGGCCUGGGCUGUGUGGGAGCCGAACGGGCACACGCUGUGAACACCAUUGGAAUUCAGCGAAGGUCCUUCCUCUGGCUCCAGGUGUCUGUCUUCACACCCAACUCCCCAGUUCUUACCACACGUUUGUGAGCCGGAGGGGGGGACUGGACCUCAGUGUGGGGGAUCCUCUGCUGCCCUUCCUCUGCAGAGCCUGAACUGCCGUCCAGUAGCUCAAGUGCCGCAUCUGAAUUCAACGAGCUGGAUGGCGCUUAUCUACAUUUCAUGCAGAUCAGCCCAAACACUGGCCCCUGGCUGCUUUCCAGCCCAAAUUAGAGGUCGGCCUCUCGCACGCCCGCACCAGCGCGCUGGUGGACUUCAAUACCUGCUGAACGCACACGCGGCUCUGACAGCUCACGAGCUGCCUGAACUUCAGCUCAGGGCGCAAGAUCCAAACCAAGAACGAGCUCAACGGCAAAGCUGUGCCCUGCGCAAGGCCGGUCUGCUCUGAAGGACCAGAGCUUUUUGUUUCUGGGGCCAAUGACCAGUUCGUCCUCAAUCCCGAGUCUCAAUCUCUCUCCCGCUCCCGUUCCCGACCUGGGUGCAGCUCGCUCUGUGGGCUCCCGUGUCCCCAAGGCUCGGUGGGACCGCCGGGUGACAGAGCACGCUCCAGCCCUCCCAGCGCACAGGGCAAACACAUGCAUAAGGCAUCAGCUUGGGAAGGAGGAAAAAGAUAUGCUGCUCUAAACUAAUGCACUAAAUCACCUGCUGCUCUGUGCCUCAGUUUUCCCAGUUUUGCCUAUUUAAGCUCUUUGUUUAGCCUCUCUCCUUACAUGUUUGUACAGCGCCAAGUGCAGAAGGUGCCUGCUUUAGCUUCAAGUGCUGAAAUGUUUCCAUAGAGCAGACAGUGACUGUUCCGUGCCAGCGUUUUCAUUGCCAGGAUCCUGAGGUUUCUGCGCCCCUGGCACGACUGACCUCUCCCCGCUCGCCGCUUCUGCUGCCGGGCUCCGUCCAAUGACUCUCCCCAUGCUGCUGUUCACGUGUUGCACUCACAUCCUCUGCUGUCACCUUCCAGCCGCCUGGACGCCUCCUCAUCUCAAGUGUAUUUCAGCCUUAUCUCUAUCAAAGCAGAAGGGUAGGGGAGUCAUCCUCAUUCCCGGCUGCUCUUCAUCGGCCUGAUCCAUAGGAGGCUGAAGCCGUCAGCUCGUCUCAGCUCUCCCCGCUGUUUCAGUGAGCUGCAGACGGGUCUUCUGUCAAGAGCACCGAGGACAAAAUGAAACUUGCUUUUUUUCUUUUUUUUCCAGGGCUGCACAUUAAUCUCUUCUCAGCGUGCUCAGAAAUGACUGUGUGUCGUGUUUCAUUUCAGACUGUCACUGAGUUCCCCAGUCCCCUUGCAGAGUCCUCCUGUGGCAGCCGUGUCCAGAGGGUCCAGAUCCUGCGCCCUGGCUGGAGCGCUUUGCUGAAACGGGGCUGGUCUCCAGUUACCCCAGUGUGAACAGGGACUGGGAGUCACUGGUGCCACAGCGAGAAGGUAGUUUGGAAUUAUCUAGAAGGAGCAGCGGAGCAGCUGCUGGUGCUGAGCGAAGGGGCUGUGUGGGCUGAGGGACGAGGAAGGACCUGAGAGCACAGAAAUGAGGGUGGGCUCCCGGCGGCUCCCCGGCCGGCUGCUCACCCAGCGCAUCCCAGACGCCGCAGCCUGAGCUCUCUGAGCGCCUCCUGCACCCUGCGCUGCCGGGGCUGCAGGCGGUGGAGCGCGCACGGGGCGGCCGGGACACGUGCGCUGUCUCCCUCGUCUCUCUCUGCAAACAACCAUCUCAGCUGCCUCGCAUCUUUUCUCACUGUGGCUCUCUGCGUUCUUCUCUUAUUUUCUCCACCUGUAAGCGGGGAUUAGGGCCAUUUAUUCCUCCCUUCCCUCUGUACAGAUCUGUCCAUUCCCUGGCCAAAUGGAUCACAAGCAAUAAAUCCCUGAGGGUCUCUCAGUGUUUUUACCCUGGA